rnacentral:rRNA from 1 species
ACAAGCAGCGGAGCGUGUGGUUAAUUCGAUGCUACACGAAGAACCUUACCCGGGUUUGACAUGCAAGUGGUAGUGAUCCGAAAGGUGAACGACCCGCAAGGGAGCUUGCACAGGUGUUGCAUGGCUGUCGCCAGCUCGUGUCGUGAGAUGUUCGGUUAAGUCCGCUAACGAGCGCAACCCUCGCUGUAUGUUACAUGUGUCAUACAGGACCGCCGGUAUCAAGCCGGAGGAAGGUGGGGAUGACGUCAAGUCCGCAUGGCCUUUAUGUCCGGGGCUACACACACGCUACAAUGGUCGGUACAAUGGGUUGCUAAGCCGCGAGGUGGAGCCAAUCCCCCAAAGCCGGCCUCAGUUCAGAUUGCAGGCUGCAACUCGCCUGCACGAAGCUGGAGUUGCUAGUAAACGCGCGUCAGCUAUAGUGCGUUGAAUACGUUCUCGGGCCUU